rnacentral:rRNA from 1 species
GAUGAACGCUGACAGAAUGCUUAACACAUGCAAGUCGAUGGGGAAGUGGUGCUUGCACCCUGGCAACCAUGGCGGACGGGUGAGUAACGCGUAAGGGACUUACCUGCAGGACUGGGAUAACAGGGGGAAACUCCUGACAAGACCGGAUAAUGUCAUGGAGCUGCAUGGCUUUAUGAUGAAAGGAGACGCCUGCGGAGAGCCUUGCGUCCUAUUAGCUAGUUGGUGAGGUAAUGGCUCACCAAGGCGAAGAUAGGUAGCCGGCCUGAGAGGGUGGACGGCCACAAGGGGACUGAGAUACGGCCCUUACGCCUACGGGAGGCAGCAGUGGGGAAUAUUGGACAAUGGGGGCAACCCUGAUCCAGCAAUUCUGUGUGCACGAAGAAGGUUUUCGGAUUGUAAAGUGCUUUCAGCAGGGAAGAAGUAAGUGACGGUACCUGCAGAAGAAGCGACGGCUAACUACGUG